AAAGACCUAAGCUUCUAAGACAAGAAUCAUUGGCGUACCUCGUCGUAAGAAUUUCGCGUCAAGAUUGGACUUCAAACCUCUUCAUCUUCUCCUUGUCUUUGAACUGAAUGUCAAUAUAAUCAAUGUUUUGAACUCUAGGAGGCAUUACGACAACAAAUUUUUUAGUUUUGGAGUGAAAAAUAGGGGAAUCCAAAUUCGGGUGGAGAUGGAAUAAUGGAGGAAAGGUUGAUUUUUAAAAGGAUAAGUGUGUUGUUGUGAAGGUUGUGGUGGGAAUGGUGGUCACAUUUUCGAAUUUGGGGUAAAUGUGAGUGAGGAUGGAGAAUUUUGAGUGGUGCUUAAUGGAG
rnacentral:lncRNA from 1 species